GGAAUACCUGGUCUAGAGAAUGUUCUAAGAGGAUCAGAGUAUGUAGGCAGUCGUUGAGAUAUAGUCAUGUUCUAAAAUAUCAAGCUUGUUUUGGUCGUGAUGUUCAUUAUCGGAGAAGGUUCUGUGGUUAGGCUUAAUAUUAGGGACUGAGCGUUCUUUGCUGAUUUAUAAUGUAUGAGGAAGAAACUGUAUUAGUUCGGAGAUAGAAUGUGAGACAGAAAGUUCAAUAGUUCUGAGAUAGAAUGUGAGACAGAGAAAGUAAUGUGAGACAGAGAAAGUUCAAUAGUUCUGAGAUAGAAUGUGAGACAGAGAAAGUUCAAUAGUUCUGAGAUAAAAUGUGAGACAGAGAAAGUUCAAUAGUUCUGAGAUAAAAUGUGAGACAGAGAAAGUUCAAUAGUUCUGAGAUAGAAUGUGAGACAGAAAGUUCAAUAGUUCUGAGAUAGAAUGUGAGACAGAAAGUUCAAUAGUUCUGAGAUAAAAUGUGAGACAGAGAAAGUUCAAUAGUUCUGAGACAGAAUGUGAGACAGAGAAAGUUCAAUAGUUCUGAGAUAGAAUGUGAGACAGAGAAAGUUCAAUAGUUCUGAGAUAGAAUGUGAGACAGAGAAAGUUCAAUAGUUCUGAGAUAGAAUGUGAGACAGAGGAAGUUCAGUUGUUCUGAGAUAGAAUGUGAGACAGAGAAAGUAGUGAGAAAGUAAGACAAAGUUGUGAGUUAGAAUGUGAGACAGAGAAAGUCCACUAGUUCUGAGAAUAAGAAGCAAAGAAAGGUCACUAGUUCUGAUAUAGAAUGUGAGAUGGAGAAAGUUCAAUAGUUCUGAAAUAUAAUGUGAGGCAGGGCUCUUAGGUUCUGAUAUUGAGAGUAUGCCAGAGAGAUCUUUACCUGGUUGAGGCAAAAAUAAAAACACUGGUAGCGUUCGCCAGCUUAGAGUACUUAGCACCUCUGAACAGACUGCCAGCUGUAAUUUUCAAACAGAGUGCAAACAUGUAGAAUCGCUGACUGCCGCCCACCAUCAAGUGGUCCCUAAAACCAACCCGGCAAAUGAACGGCAGAUCAAUAUUUGGUGAGGUGUAUGCCUAAGACAGAGCAGGUCCCAUGAAGGGAGGGGUAGUGUGUGUAAGAGUGACUGAGUGAGUGUAAUGACCUACCUGUAUGUGUGUGUGAGUGUGUGAGAGAGAAAAAGGAGAGAAAGAGAGAAGAAAAGAUAGAAAAAGAGGGCAUGAGAGUGACGAUCAAUAGACUCAAUAAAAGCCAAGCUGGAGAGCAAUAGCCUAGCGUUGAGAGCAAUAAUUUCCCUUAGGUGCAGAGGGGGGAGCAAACCAUGUUUGUUGAUAAUGAACUCAGAGCAGUGUUGUCCGAUUCCAACCUGUAAACUGGACAAAGUGGCCUCUUUCACAACAGCUGUGGAGGGAG
rnacentral:lncRNA from 1 species